GUGAUUUCCUCACGCAGCUGUUUUUGUAGUUGAAUAUGCUAAACAUAUUGUGGCAAGCAUAGUUAAUGAUGCAACGGUUAUCUCUUGGCCAGAAAAUUGACUUGUUACGCUUCUUUCCUAGUGCUUUUGUCCAUUUGUUCACUGUUAUGUGAUCCAAACCCAGAUGACCCACUAGUGCCAGAGAUAGCUCGCAUCUACAAAACAGAUAGAGAAAAGUACAACAGAAUAGCCCGGGAAUGGACUCAGAAGUAUGCCAUGUGAUGCUACUACAAGAAAAGUCUGAAUAAACCUGCAUUAUAGCUGGAAUAAACUGUAAAUUACUGUUAUCUUUUUGGUUUUCUUAUUUGGCUGCUCCCUUUCAGACUCUAUUCCCCUGCCUCCAAUUCAUGCACAUGCUCUGUGGAGAUCAUAGCUCUUCUAGCUUUGGAAAAUGGCUUAUUGAGUAAUCGUUACCUGAAUAAUGGUCCAAGAUACGGAACUAAACCUGGAGCAUGUAUUAAGUGGCCAAUGUCUUCACCAUAAGUUGGUUAUAAAACUAAAACCAUCCCACAUUGCUCAAGCAGAUGCUGACAGUGUUGCUUAAAACUAAACCGUGGACGGAUGCACUCUGAUCACAUCACACUUGGAUGACUUUACCAGGACAGAGACUUCAUUUUAAGCUGUCUGUAAGAGAUUGAGGUUUCGUAAUGUGCUUUAUACUCGCAACUGGUGAAUCAGAGAAUUGGUACAGUUCAUAAUCUCAACAUAUUCAAAAUGUGAUCUAUUUUAUGCAUGUUAAUAAAGGAAUAACAAGUUUUGUUUAUUCCACCAAAUGAGAAAUGGAAGAAAAACUCCCCCGAACUUAAACUAGGGUCAGGAACAUUUUGUAAUUUUCAUUUAAAAGGUUUUUGUUUUUUAGGAGGUUGGAGCUAUUAGUUAAUCUAUCUUCCAAACACUUUCCCAUAGCACUGAUUUAAAAAAAUGAUGCAAGCUGUCAAUGGUUGAAUGAUCAACUAAUAGCUCUUGCUAGAUAUUGAUUUAUUUUCCUCAAUAAAGUUACAUAAACCUGUA